rnacentral:rRNA from 1 species
UACGGGGGGGAGCAAGCGUUGUUCGGAUUUACUGGGCGUAAAGGGCGCGUAGGCGGCGUAACAAGUCACUUGUGAAAUCUCCGGGCUUAACCCGGAGCGGCCAAGUGAUACUGUUGUGCUAGAGUGCGGAAGGGGGCUACUGGAAUUCUCGGUGUAGCGGUGAAAUGCGUAGAUAUCGAGAGGAGCACCUGCGGCGAAGGCGGCUCUCUGGGACGGUACUGACGCUGAGACGCGAAAAGCGUGGGGAGCGAACAGG